UACCGUGAAAUCCCUAAUUCCCCACUACUAGCCGCCGCUCACGCCGCCCCCAACAUCGCGACGCUCACUGCUCUCUCCGGUCGGCCGCUGCACCGCGCCGUCGCCCUCAAACCCUCCUGCCGCCCCCACAGCACCCAUCCCCCCCCGAGAUCGAACCCUCUCCACCACCAAGGUGCUCCAUCCCCACCCCGUCACCAAGAACUCCGGCCUCUUCGUCAUCCUGGGUGCCGGGCAGAUCCCGGGGAAGACUAUGUCGGACGUGGAGAAGCACUUCCCACGCUAUCUUGCUCCUCCACUGCCGGCCCCACGUCGUCCUGCCUACCAGUGCCCCCCACGCGCCUGCUCCCCGCCGUUGCCCCCUCCAGGUUGCCGGCGGCGGAGAUUUAUGUCCGUGCGAACAUCCCGAUCGGAAACAUCAGUGCCAGUGGGUUCUUCUUCAGAGACCAUCCAUUUGACGUUCUGCCCCGAGUCCCGAUGACCUUCUUAUGUGCGGAUGUCAAAAGACAUGCCUUCUUUGUACCAUUCGCGAGACCAAACAGUGCCUGACAAAAGAAGGCAGCCAAACCUACUAACCAGCGGGAUCCGAAUGAUGUGUGGAUUUCCAAAAGGAAGAAGAAGGCCAUUCACAAGACCACGACCACUGAUGGCAAGAUCACGACCUUGAAAAUGGUAGUAAUGAACACCAUUCUUGGUAUCGAAGAGGUCAACAUUGUCAAGGAUGACUUAGUUAUCCAAUUUCAGAAUUCGAAAUGUGAAAUGUUGACAUGUUAUACCAUUACUUCUAUAGAAUUGAGGAUCCACUUAAACAUUUCUUCUAACAUUGGUGAUUCUUGAUUUCUCCCAGUGCAAACAUCCAUCACAACACAUGGGUAGUCACUGGAACACCACCGUUGAAAAAGCUGCAAGAUAUUCUGGCAACACUUAUCAACCAACUGGAGCUAGUCAUCCAUGGUGGCAACGACAUCGGGAAGAUCUCACCUUGCUUUUUUACUUGGAUUUAUAGCCUGGGUUUGUUGGUGAAGUAAUGAUCGAAGGAGAUAUUAAAUUGUUGUCUGUGGUAGCAAAUGGCUUGCCUACAACAGAGGACUUUGAGCAUGUCACUGAUUUGGAAAUAUUGAAGGUUCCACCUGUCCCCAUGGAUAAAUUCCUUUAUCUUUUUAUUGGGUUAAUCUCUACAGCAAAUAAUUUUAAACGUAGAAUAGUGGUUCGUAGAACUGGGGUAUCAUGCGUGGGUAGUGACCACCUUAUUGAAGAUCCUUCUUCCUGUUUUGAUUGCAUUUUCAUUCACUAUGUACUUGGUUACACCUUGUCACAAGACAACACUCUUCAAAAUUUUGUCAAAACUCUUCUUGUGUUCUGUUUAUUCUAGAAUUACAGCUCCUCACUUCAUGGUCAAUACUUAUGUGCCUCUUUUGCUGCCUUUGAUAAAAUCAUAAAAAUGAGGUGGUGAACGAGGAGCUAUGGAAUGAAGCACAGACAUAUGGAGACAUCAAGUUGCUGCUGUUUGUUGAUUAUUAUAACAAGUGGCACUACAUUAUGAAACGGAGGGAGUAUGUAGGAAUGGCAAGUUAUCCCCCAUGGGCAAUAGACCAGGAUAAAUUGGAUGUCAGGAUAUAGCAAAAGAAGUUUACAGGAAACACAAAAGAGGGGAGCAAAAGAUUUUCAAGCUGGAGGAUGUCCUCCAAGAUGAAGAAUGAAAGCUUUGAUGUCAAGUAUGAGAACGAUGCAAGGAUCUUUUUCGAAGGCUAUGAGGAUGGGCAUGUAGUUGCUUCCCCACUAGUAGGAGCCAAGGCAGACAAUGUGCCUUUUAGACAAAUUCUAGAAAACAAAACAAGGAUUUUUUGCUCUCAGACAAUGAACCAUAACGUAUAGGACUCCUCUUUUAUACUCCCAAGAGUAUGUACUCCCAUGUCUAAUCAGGUGUUUGACUAGUGGAUAAUCCUGCCCCGUGGCUAACCGGCUAUGAAACAACCUCCUAUACAAACGAGCAA